UCUUUGACCUAAAAAAAAAAACCAUAAAUGCUUCAAUCCUCUCAUCCUAUCUCUACUCGGUUGUUCUCUCUUCUCCUUCCUAAACUAAAAAAUCUGUUGCUAACCCUUGCCUAUUACAUUUUCCUUUAAUUCUUGCUAUGGGAUUAUCUCUUUCUCUUAUUUCUCUUAUUUUCCUUCAUUUACUUCUUUAUUUUUUUCAUUAUUUUUUAUGCAUUUACCUUUCCCUUCCUCUGGCAAGCCGCUCAUUUUUUUAUGUAAAUGAAGUUCUGUCGUUCCAGAUCUACUACCAUGCUAAACAUAAAUUUUAAAUCUUUUUUUUCUUAUUAUUUUAUGUAGUAAAGUCUGAGUCUUUUUUUGGUUACAGGUAUCAGUGCAUUCUAUUUUUUUUCCUUCUCUUUUGUUUGUUGGUCACUAAUCUACAAUAAUCUCUUUUUUUUUGUAAAGGAAAAGGGUUUCUGUAAUGUAGAAUCCAUAAUAACCUCAUUUCUUUUUAUUUUUUUUUUUAUUUUCCUCUUUUUGAUAAUUUUUUGCUCCGCAGGUAUGGAUGAAUUUUGUUUACAUCCUUUCUUCUGCGUUUUGGUGGCCUGUGAUUUACAAAGGGGCGACUGAGUGCCGUUACUAAGAGAGAAUAGUUUUUUAUUUUUUUAUAUUCAUUUUCUCAUGUUCUUCAAUGGAUCUGUUGUCAUAUUUUAUUGCUUGGGUUAUUGCAUGUUCUAUGCCUAUUUUGUCUGUUCGUCUAUCUUCGUAUAUCACAGUACUUUACGAAGAUAUUUUGGGUCUGUUUUCAAAUCAAUUUGUUGGUGGCUUGGUUUUAUAUUAUUCACCUACUGCAUGCACUGUUCAAAUAUACCUACGUUUGUGUAUACGCAUAUUAACGCUUCUGCCUUUGUUGUGCCAUGCAUUUUGGGUCUCUGGGCUUAUGGACUGAAAUGUAUAAUUUUGGACUGAGAUGGGCCUUUGUUGUUUAUAUGGAUUGACUUUCUUUGCAUGGCCCAGUGCAACGGUUUUUACCUUAAUUAUGUCGACUGGGUUAUUGAUUUUAUUUCCAUAAUACCAUGCUUGCUGAUCUACACUUUGGUGAUUGAUGUCCCUUCUAAUGGUUUUAGUUGUUACACAGAUCCUCUACUCUAUCUUAUUGUUGAUGAUAUCACGAAUUCAGUAUCAUCAUUGCUUUCUUCAAUAAUUUAGAAGCCCUAUGUUUUACUUUCGGUAUAAAUUAUAUACACUCAGACUUAUUUUAAAACAACUUUUUUUUAUUUGUAUCAAAUCUCUUCCUAUCUGAAAACUGAAACACUAUUAAAUGGUCUCAUAGCUUCUGCAUACCCUACGCCCCCGCCCCUCAACUUGCUUCUGAUUGUACUCCUUCUUAAGUAAGUCAAUAGCAUGCUGUCUCUCCAAGUAACUUCCACUAUAAAUGCUUAGUUCCCUUCAUUUAAUGCUACCUUGCAACUGAAGCUCUUUUCUUUGGGAAGCUGCACUUAAUAUCUGGAUUGCAUACUUGCUCUCUCGCUGUAAGUUUUACUUUCAAUUUAUAUAUAUUUCAUUCUUGUAAUAUAUGAUAUAUAGCUGUGAUGUUUGUUGUUGGGUUGAUGUUAUAGGUGUUUAUGUCCAUUUAUGAGUGCUUACCUAUGCUGAUGGCUUACAUGAUAUUGUUGCUAUGGUGAUUUUUUAUUUCUCGAUUGUAUCAUGUGUUUGGAUAUUUUAUUUAACUUAUGCUUUGACAAUUGCCUUGCUUCAAUUUUCUUGAAUGACUUUUCAUAACCUGUUUAAUUGUUGGUGUUGGAUCCCACAUAAAUAUUAAUGAGAAAAAAAAUAGUGCUAUGACAUCCAUAAACAGAUGUUAAUAUGAAGUUUCUUCUAAAAAUUAAGUACUAGACUAUAUCAAUAUAUUUUUGUAAAAUAGGGGGCCUUGAAGGUCUUUGGUCCUCCAUAUAUUCCACAGGACGGUACCAACUCCUUCAUAUUCUUAUAGUAUGUUUUUACAUAUGUCUAUAGAUUGUAUUACAAAGGUUUGUGGGAUGAGCAGUAACAUCUCAAUUCAUUUUAAGGAUGAUGGUUGUUUGGAUGCUUAUUGUGGUGUAUUUGUCUCUCUUUUACAGUUUAUUUUAAGAAUUUAAAUUUAUUGUGUGGUGGAUCAAUUUUCACAGGCUUUAAUAGAAAACUUAAACUCAUUAGUUAUUCUACUUCAUAAAAAAAGGCCCUACAUAAACAUGCCUUACAUAUUUUUCCCCCUUCAGCAGGGCAGACAUUUUUUAUAGUUUGUACGUACAUACUUCUAUACACUUCAUUACAAAACAUGUAUGGGAUUAACAAUAAUAUUUCAAUUGAUUUUACGGAUUCUUACAAUUCCAAUGCUUAUAGUGGUCACAUGCCUAUCUUUUAUAAUUUGCUCUAUUAAUUUACCAUUCAUUGUAUUUUGAUUUUUUCUUUUAAAAAGGUCUUACAGAAAUAUGCCUAGAAUUUUUUAUUUUGAUUCCACUUGGUGUGAAUUCUUUUUACUCCCUAUACAUAAGCUUUUAUACACUGCAACAAUAAUUUUUUAGGCUGGCCAGUGAUAUUUCAGUUGAUUUCUAAGAGUUGUACUUCUGUAUAGACAUGCUUUUAUAUACUGUUAUGUUAUGUACUGAACCAAUUUUUGCAGCUUUAAACAAUAUACUUUAUCUUAUUUGUCAUUCUAAUCUUUACAAAGAUCUUACGGAAGCAUGUCUUGCAUAGUUUUUUUAACCUGAAAAAAUUAAAAUUUUUUUGCUAGAAUAUUGUAUGUUUAUUCUAUUCCGUCGUGAUUAUAUUUGAUUUUAGAUUUUGUUUCUCUGCUGAUUUUUGAAUAUAAUUUAUAGAUGACAAUUGUAAAUGUGCCUUUAGAAAAUAUAUUGGACAUUGUUUUACAGCAAUUGAGACUGUCCCCAACAAGAUUUGAAAUGCAUGAAGGUUCUGAUAACAUAUUUACCUGUAAUGUCUAUUACGCGCACUAUGAUAAUGCAGGGAAUAGAUUUGUGUCAUGUAAGAUUGGUAUGAGUCCUAAAUGUGCUGAGAAUGGUAGCUAUUCUUUAUAACCUGAAUAUUAUCGAUUACAAUUUUAGGAAUAUGCUUUUUUACAAAAUGAGUCGUGAACAGUAUAAAAGAGGGGAAUUAGCAAAUUUGUCAGAAAUUGGCAUCUAAUGUAUGAUAAACUUACAACAAAGUAUCACAAAGUUUGCAGGGUUAUUGAGAAGAUCAAGGCUGCCAUUGCUAGGAUUAGCCAUCUUUUUUAAAUGUUUUAGUUUACCUUUGUAUUUUUUUAGGAGCUUAAUAUGGUGUAAUGGUUCACAUAUGGUUACAGGUUGACACUUUUUA